ACGAACAGCGGCAGUUCACUCCACUUUUUGACUGCCGUGCAGAAUAAAGGAGGAGAAUUGCUCCCUGGGGUUCGGGGUGCGGCAGUGUGGAGACCUGUCGUAAUGCGGUCCAAACCGCGAGAGCGCCGCAGGCGGAGGCCCGGUGUUCAGAGCCGCGAAUUAUGGCA
rnacentral:ncRNA from 1 species